AUGAUGUCACCUCCUGCAGCAAGGAUGUCACAGACACCUGCGUGCGGGCAGUGCUGCAGGAGGGACCCCCACAAGGACAAUACCAAAAUGUUCAAGCCAAUGCAACAGCCACGGAUGAAUUUUCCCCUGAAGUUUUCCAAGCCGUGCCGACCAGGGUCAAAGCCCAGAUCGAAGCCAUCAGACUUACAGCACCAGAAGCACACAACAAGGCCCCCGGUUGGCCGAGCAGCCCCUGCCACAACAGUCGCUCCCUCCCAGCACCGGGGGCAGCCUGCAGGCUCCAGCAGCAAACCCAAGUCCUUGGUGGUGAACGCAAGGCAGCCGGGGCCAUCGAGCCCACCAGCAGCCCGGCCCAAUGCUGGUUGGCAGCAGCCGCUGCUCUUCAUCUUCGAGCAAAAAAAGGCACCAGUCACUGCAGCUGCAGCCAGGACCUCUCCUGCACCAGCCUCAGCAGCUGCUUGGAGUCCUGUGGAGCCAAAUCCUUCAUUUUCUUUGGAAAUAAAAACAACGCCGCAGUGGGGCCAGCCGGCAUCCCCCCCCACGCAGCAAAGCCCACAGCGGGGGCAUGUUCAGCAGCGUGCAAGCCGCUCCCCUCAGCUGCUCUCACCCUGCAAUGAAGCCAAGGGGCCUCCAGUCACCUGCCAGCCCCCCGCUGCAGCCCCCGAGGACAGCCUGGGGACAGUGAGGGCCAGCAUCUCCCCUCCCUGCCUGGAGAUCAUCUCGCUGAAGAAAGGCUUCACCGUCAAGGCCUUCCCUGCCUUCAGCCAGAGUCGCUCGCCCGCAGGCACUGCCAGCCCCCACAAGACCUUCCCAGGUGCUGCUGCAUCGAACAGGGCCGAGGCAGUGGCUGUCACCACAGGCAUCCGAGCAUCAAGAUCUGCACCCUUGCCUGGAGCCAGGUGGGUCCGCAAAUUCCUGUAG
rnacentral:lncRNA from 1 species